GACCAGACUCCAACGGGAGGCAGCAGUGGGGAAUAUUGGGCAAUGGGCGCAAGCCUGACCCAGCAACGCCGCGUGAAGGAAGAAGGCUUUCGGGUUGUAAACUUCUUUUAAGAGGGAAGAGCAGAAGACGGUACCUCUUGAAUAAGCCACGGCUAACUACGUGCCAGCAGCCGCGGUAAUACGUAGGUGGCAAGCGUUGUCCGGAUUUACUGGGUGUAAAGGGCGUGCAGCCGGGAAGACAAGUCAGAUGUGAAAUCCGGGGGCUCAACCCCCGAACUGCAUUUGAAACUGUUGGUCUUGAGCAUCGGAGAGGCAGGCGGAAUUCCUAGUGUAGCGGUGAAAUGCGUAGAUAUUAGGAGGAACACCAGUGGCGAAGGCGGCCUGCUGGACGACAACUGACGGUGAGGCGCGAAAGCGUGGGGAGCAAACAGGAUUAGAUACCCGCGUAA
rnacentral:rRNA from 1 species